UUAUGGCUCAGGAUGAACGCUAGCUACAGGCUUAACACAUGCAAGUCGAGGGGCAGCAUGAAACUUAGCUUGCUAAGUUUGAUGGCGACCGGCGCACGGGUGAGUAACACGUAUCCAACCUACCGUUUACUACGGGAUAGCCUUCUGAAAAGGAGAUUAAUACCGUAUGGUAUUCUAAAGUUUCAUGACAUUAGAAUUAAAGGUUUACCGGUAAUCGAUGGGGAUGCGUUCCAUUAGAUAGUAGGCGGGGUAACGGCCCACCUAGUCAGCGAUGGAUAGGGGUUCUGAGAGGAAGGUCCCCCACAUUGGAACUGAGACACGGUCCAAACUCCUACGGGAGGCAGCAGUGAGGAAUAUUGGUCAAUGGGCGAGAGCCUGAACCAGCCAAGUAAGCGUGAAGGAUGACUGCCCUAUGGGUUGUAAACUUCUUUUAUAAAGGAAUAAAGUGGUCCACGUGUGGAUUUUUGUAUGUACUUUAUGAAUAAGGAUCGGCUAACUCCGUGCCAGCAGCCGC
rnacentral:rRNA from 1 species